rnacentral:rRNA from 1 species
UACAGAGGUCUCAAGCGUUGUUCGGAUUCAUUGGGCGUAAAGGGUGCGUAGGCGGCGCGGUAAGUCGGGUGUGAAAUCUCGGAGCUUAACUCCGAAACUGCAUUCGAUACUGCCGUGCUUGAGGACUGGAGAGGAGACUGGAAUUUACGGUGUAGCGGUGAAAUGCGUAGAUAUCGUAAGGAAGACCAGUGGCGAAGGCGAGUUCCUGGACAGUUACUGACGCUGAGGCACGAAGGCCCAGGGGAGCAAAACGGG